GGUCCUAUAGUUUCAAUUGGUUAAAAUACUCCCCUGUCACGGGAAUGUUACGAGUUCGAGUCUCGUUAGGACCGCCA
rnacentral:tRNA from 1 species